GACGCUGAGGAGCGAAAGCGUGGGGAGCGAACAGGAUAAGAUACCCGGGUAGUCCACGCCGUAAACGAUGAGUGCUAAGUGUAAGGGGGUUUCCGCCCCUAAGUGCUGAGCAAACGCAUAAGCACUCCGCCUGGGGAGUACGGUCGCAAGACUGAAACUCAAAGGAAUGGACGGGGGCCCGCACAAGCGGUGGAGCAUGUGGUUAAUUCGAAGAACGCGAAGAACCUUACCAGGUCUGGACAUCCUCUGACAACCCAAGAGAUAGGGCUUUCCCUUGGGGGAAAGAGUGACAGGUGGUGCAUGGUGUGUCAGCUCGUGUCGUGAGAUGUUGGGUUAAGUCCCGCAACGAGCGCAACCCUUGAUCUUAGUUGCCAGCAUUUAGUUGGGCACUUAAGGUGACUGCCGGUGACAACCGGAGGAAGGU
rnacentral:rRNA from 1 species